rnacentral:rRNA from 1 species
GGACUACCCGGGUAUCUAAUCCUUUUUGCUCCCCACGCUUUCGUGCCUCAAUGUCAGAAAUAGAAUAGUUAACUGCCUUCGCCGUUAUUGGUGUUCUUCCAUAUAUCGUCACAUUUUACCGCUCCACAUGGAGUUCCGUUAACCUCUCCUACUCUCUAGUCUGACAGUAUUAAUAGUUUCCGCGAGGUUGGGCCUCGAUUUACCACCACUAACUUUUCAGACCAUCUACGCACCCUUUACGCCCAAUAAUUCCGGAUAACGUUCGUCACCUACGUCUUACCGCGGCGGCUGGCAC